rnacentral:rRNA from 1 species
UACGUAGGUGGCAAGCGUUGUCCGGAAUUAUUGGGCGUAAAGCGCGCGCAGGCGGCCUUUUAAGUCUGAUGUGAAAGCCCACGGCUCAACCGUGGAAGGUCAUUGGAAACUGAAAGGCUUGAGUACAGAAGAGGAAAGCGGAAUUCCACGUGUAGCGGUGAAAUGCGUAGAGAUGUGGAGGAACACCAGUGGCGAAGGCGGCUUUCUGGACAGUGACUGACGCUGAGACGCGAAAGCGUGGGGAGCAAACAGG